AUUGAACGCUGGCGGCAGGCCUAACACAUGCAAGUCGAGCGGAGCGGCGGACGGGUGAGUAAUGCCUAGGAAUCUGCCUGGUAGUGGGGGAUCACGUCCGGAAACGUGCGCUUAUACCGCAUACUAUCAGAUCAGUCUAGGUCGGAUUAGCUAGUUGGUGGGGUAAAGGCUUACCAAGUCGACGAUCCGUAACUGGGCUGAGAGGAUGAUCAGUCACACUGGGACUGAGACACGGUCCAGACUCCUACGGGAGGCAGCAGUGGGGAAUAUUGGACAAUGGGCGAAAGCCUGAUCCAGCCAUGCCGCGUGAGUGAAGAAGGUUUUCGGAUUGUAAAGCACUGUAAGUUGGGAGGCGUUACCAACAGAGUAAGCACCGGCUAACUUCGUGCCAGCAGCCGCGGUAAUAC
rnacentral:rRNA from 1 species